UACAGAGGGGGCAAGCGUUGUUCGGAAUUACUGGGCGUAAAGGGCGCGUAGGCGGCCUUCUAAGUCGAACGUGAAAUCCCUGGGCUCAACCCAGGAACUGCGUCCGAUACUGGAAGGCUUGAAUCCGGGAGAGGGAUGCGGAAUUCCAGGUGUAGCGGUGAAAUGCGCAGAUAUCAGGAAGAACACCCGUGGCGAAGGCGGCUCUCUGGGACGGUACUGACGCUGAGACGCGAAAGCGUGGGGAGCGAACAGG
rnacentral:rRNA from 1 species